rnacentral:rRNA from 1 species
AUUGAACGCUGGCGGCAGGCCUAACACAUGCAAGUCGAGCGAGCGGCGGACGGGUGAGUAAUGUCUGGGAAACUGCCCGAUGGAGGGGGAUAACUCCUGGAAACGGUAGCUAAUAUCGCAUACCAUCAGAUGUGCCCAGAUGGGAUUAGCUAGUAGGUGGGGUAAUGGCUCACAUAGGCGACGAUCCCUAGCUGGUCUGAGAGGGGGACAAGCCACACGGGGACUGAGACACGGCCCAGACUCCUACGGGAGGCAGCAGUGGGGAAUAUUGCACAAUGGGCGCAAGCCUGAUGCAGCCAUGCCGCGUGUAUGAAGAAGGCCUUCGGGUUGUAAAGCACUUUCAGCGGGGAGGCGUUACCCGCAGAAGAAGCACCGGCUAACUCCGUGCCAGCAGCCGCGGUAAUAC